rnacentral:rRNA from 1 species
UACAGAGGUCCCAAGCGUUGUUCGGAUUCACUGGGCGUAAAGGGUGCGUAGGUGGUGAGGUAAGUCGGAUGUGAAAUCUCCGAGCUCAACUCGGAAAUGGCAUUGGAAACUACCUUGCUCGAGGGUUGGAGGGGGGACUGGAAUGCUUGGUGUAGCAGUGAAAUGCGUAGAUAUCAAGCGGAACACCAGUGGCGAAGGCGAGUCCCUGGACAACUCCUGACACUGAGGCACGAAGGCGUGGGGAGCGAACAGG